rnacentral:rRNA from 1 species
GGGCCCGCACAAGCGGUGGAGCAUGUGGUUUAAUUCGAUGAUACGCGAGGAACCUUACCAGGGCUUAAAUGCAGAACGACCGGGGUGGAAACACCCCUUUCUUCGGACGGUCUGCAAGGUGCUGCAUGGUUGUCGUCAGCUCGUGCUGUGAAGUGUCGGGUUAAGUCCCAUAACGAGCGCAACCCCUAUUUCUAGUUGCCAGCGGUUCGGCCGGGGACUCUAGAGAAACUGCCAGCGUAAGCUGUGAGGAAGGUGGGGAUGACGUCAAAUCAUCACGGCCCUUACGUCCUGGGCCACACACGUGCUACAACGGUCGGUACAAAGGGUUGCGAAGUCGCGAGGCGGAGCC